CCUACGGGUGGCAGCAGUGAGGAAUAUUGGUCAAUGGGCGGGAGCCUGAACCAGCCAAGUCGCGUGAGGGAAGACGGUCCUAUGGAUUGUAAACCUCUUUAGGCGGGGAGCAAUGCCGGGCACGCGUGCCCGGAGGGAGAGUACCCGCAGAAUAAGCAUCGGCUAACUCCGUGCCAGCAGCCGCGGUAAUACGUAGGGGGCAAGCGUUAUCCGGAUUUACUGGGUGUAAAGGGAGCGUAGACGGUUGUGCAAGUCUGAAGUGAAAGCCCGCGGCUCAACUGCGGAACGGCUUUGGAAAUUGUGUACCUGGAGUGCUGGAGAGGUAAGCGGAAUGCCUGGUGUAGCGGUGAAAUGCGUAGAGAUCAGGAGGAACACCGGCGGCGAAGGCGGCUUACUGGACAGUAACUGACGUUGAGGCUCGAAAGCGUGGGGAGCAAACAGGAUUAGAUACCCCGGUAGUC
rnacentral:rRNA from 1 species